rnacentral:rRNA from 1 species
GCAUUAGCUAGUCGGCGGGGUAACGGCCCACCGAGGCGACGAUGCGUAGGGGUUCUGAGAGGAAGGUCCCCCACACUGGUACUGAGACACGGACCAGACUCCUACGGGAGGCAGCAGUGAGGAAUAUUGGUCAAUGGCCGGGAGGCUGAACCAGCCAAGUCGCGUGAGGGAAGACGGCCCUACGGGUUGUAAACCUCUUUUGUCAGGGAGCAAGAGGCGGGUCGAGACCUGCUGUGAGAGUACCUGAAGAAAAAGCAUCGGCUAACUCCGUGCCAGCAGCCGCGGUAAUACGGAGGAUGCGAGCGUUAUCCGGAUUUAUUGGGUUUAAAGGGUGCGCAGGCGGAGGCACAAGUCAGCGGUAAAAUCGCGGGGCUCAACCCCGCUCCGCCGUUGAAACUGUGUCCCUUGAGUGCGCGAAGGGUAGGCGGAAUGCGUGGUGUAGCGGUGAAAUGCAUAGAUAUCACGCAGAACUCCGAUCGCGAAGGCAGCCUACCGGCGCGCAACUGACGCUCAUGCACGAAAGCGUGGGUAUCGAACAGGAUUAGAUACCCUGGUAGUCCACGCAGUAAACGAUGAAUGCUAUCUGUCCGGCCGGAAUGACGGCUGG